UACGGGGGGAGCAAGCGUUGUUCGGAUUUACUGGGCGUAAAGGGCGCGUAGGUGGCCCGGCAAGCGUGCGGUGAAAGCUCGGGGCUCAACCCCGAGUCGGCCGUGCGAACUGCUGGGCUCGAGCACUGUAGAGGCAGGCGGAAUUCCGGGGUGUAGCGGUGGAAUGCGUAGAGAUCCGGAAGAACACCGGUGGCGAAGGCGGCCUGCUGGGCAGUGGCUGACACUGAGGCGCGACAGCGUGGGGAGCAAACAGGAUAGAAACCC
rnacentral:rRNA from 1 species